rnacentral:rRNA from 1 species
CCUACGGGGGGCUGCAGUGGGGAAUAUUGGACAAUGGGGGCGACCCUGAUCCAGCCAUGCCGCGUGUGUGAAGAAGGCCCUCGGGUUGUAAAGCACUUUCAGUGAGGAAGAACGCCUGGUGGUUAAUACCCAUCAGGAAAGACAUCACUCACAGAAGAAGCACCGGCUAACUCCGUGCCAGCAGCCGCGGUAAUACGGAGGGUGCGAGCGUUAAUCGGAAUUACUGGGCGUAAAGCGCGCGUAGGUGGCUUGAUAAGCCGGUUGUGAAAGCCCCGGGCUCAACCUGGGAACGGCAUCCGGAACUGUCAAGCUAGAGUGCAGGAGAGGAAGGUAGAAUUCCCGGUGUAGCGGUGAAAUGCGUAGAGAUCGGGAGGAAUACCAGUGGCGAAGGCGGCCUUCUGGACUGACACUGACACUGAGGUGCGAAAGCGUGGGUAGCAAACAGGAUUAGAUACCCCUGUAGUC